UCUAACUGUCCCAUUUACAUGGUGUCUGUUCAAUUUCAUGGUUUCCGAUUUUCCUGUUUUGCCUAACGUAGGGCUGUGAUUAUUUUGACAAAACAUUGAACUCCACGAAAACAAAGCCAUUCAUUAUGAAUAUCACUUUCAGUUGGAAGACAUAAAAAAAAGUCAAACAUCACUGUUUCGUAAUGUGGACCUCAUUAAUGAAAUCUGAACCAAAAUCCUCUGAAGGAAUCUGAUCUAAUAAAGGUACGAGGAAACGAAAUGAAUCAAAGAAAAGGAAGAAUGCAGUAAUUGAUUUAAUAUAUACGCAUUCUUCUAUUCAAGUGCCACUGUACAGCGUAAAAACGUCAAGA